CAGAGGACUUUGAAGCUUUUCUCAAUGCACGGGGGGUACAGCCAGCAGAACGUGGCCAUCCUGUCCACAAGGAAGACAUCCAGAGUCGGCAAGGCCUCCAGGCUCUCUCCAGCUCUAUAGAGACCCUGGCCGACCUGUCGGAUCUGUGCUUCCAGGACCUGAUGGUCCCCAGUCUGCCCAGCUUGGACAGCUCAAUGAUUGACUAUCUUUUGGCAUGACUGACAAAACUGAGAGCAACAUAUUGAAGACUACGACAUGAAUGGGUCCACGUCCAACAACACGUCCGUUUGUGUAACAGCUACGAGCCAGCCUGCAGCAGGAUGUCUGCUACAUCAGUGUAUCCGUUCUCACACCCAUACGUCUACGCUGUGUCGCCAGUUGCCGUGGUGGCCUCCACUAGUGCACCCAUUCGGUGAUGUCGCGGUCUUUCAAAGUGUUGCGCUAAUUUUUUUUUUUUUUUUUUUUUUUUUUUGGACAAAGGUGCCGAGUCUACCUUGGGGAGGUGGUAACUGUGACUUAUGCUAUUCGUUAUCUAUUUAAGAAACACUAGUAUGAUGCACAUCAGAUGAUUUCACAUGUCCUUUUUGCACAUAGUUUGUUUAUAUUUUGGAUGGGGUUGCAAAGAUAACGUUUAGCACUUGACUCAAAGCUGUCCUUGCUGAGUGGGCUUCAGCGGAGUCCCGGAAAAAAAGUAAAUGAGACGCACUUGUUUCCAACUGAAACUCGGUACCAGAUAUGUUACAAGGUAUGCCAACUGCUGUGACGGGGAAAUGGGACACGAAUGACCAGAUCGCCUUUUUUUUAUUUUUUUAUUUUUAUUUUUAUUUUUUUUUUGGGGGGGGGGUAUAUUUCACGAUUUUCAUGGCAGGCCGUGGAGAUCUGUAAUGUAAAUAAAAUGCAUAUUACGUUAUGUACAUAACAUUGUUAAUAGUAUUUUUUACUAAUAAAUGUGUCCUGAACAAGUCUCUCAGGCUGUGUGUUAUCAUUCAUAAACUCUUCUUGAGGUCAGGAAUCACGUGGCGCCGUGGCUUAGUUGGUUAAAGCGCCUGUCUAGUAAACAGGAGAUCCUGGGUUCGAAUCCCAGCGGUGCCUUUUUGUUUUCUGUUUUGAUUAAAGUAAACUUUUAAACACUCCCGUAACAUUAAAUGUUGCGACACUGACGCAAAUCAGAUUUUUAUUCAUUUUUAUAAAACCUCAAAAUAGUGUGUAUUUGGGUUUUUUGUUUUUUUUUUUUUUUUUUUUUUUUUUUUUUCCCACUGAUGCAACAGUUCGAUAAUAUCAGGUUAUGUUAAAAACAUCUGUAGUGGUUUAUAAAUUAAACCUUAAUACAAAUUUCCUAAUGCCUUUUCAAAGUUGUAACACAGCUUCUUAUUGUAUUUAUUUUUGAUAUAUUUUCCCUUGUACCGGCCUAUUGCCCAACAGAGGGCGCUGCUUUUUUUUUUUUUUUUUUUUCUUUUUUUUUUUUCCACCUGAAGAGGUCAGCACAGGAUUACGGCAGCCUCUUGUAGGGAUACUCAUGAAUUCACUGAACAGAGGCCUGUAUGUGUGCGCGCAUAUUCAGUUGUAUGUUGCAUUUGUAAAAACCAGGUCAGGCUACCCCAAAAGCUUGAUUCAGUCCCACUAGAUACAGCAUUUUCAGGGGGAGGAAAGUGACCUCUUCAGUCUGCAGGUUUCCCUAAGCUUAUAAACAUUACAUCUGCCCUAAUUUAUGUGUAAAAGGAACCGCAACUGAACUAAGUAAAUCUUUCACCAUCUUCUAAUGCUGUGAUAGCAGCCAUUCCCUAACUCUGUAAAUGAGUGGCUAUUUGCAU
ensembl:lncRNA